rnacentral:piRNA from 1 species
UGUCUUAUCUAUUGCAAGUAAUAUUUUUC